CUCAGUUUCAGAUUUUCUCUAUCUUCUCUCUACCACAAUUCUAUCUUCUCUCUACCAAAUCUCUUCUCUGAACCGUUUAAUCUUCGAUCAGGUGUCGUCAAAACGUCCGCAACGUAGUGGGCUUCGAAACUAACCGAUUCAUUUUGGGUUUUAAGCUGGUUGUAGGGUUUUAUUGAGUUCUUGCGGUGAAGGAACUGUUGGUGUGUUCUUGCGAGCUAUCCAUUCAAGUUACUCUAAGUGAUGGAUGAGGUGCCUCUGGAGCAGGCUUUGGA
rnacentral:sRNA from 1 species